UGCGUAGGCGGCUUUGCAAGUCAGAUGUGAAAUCUAUGGGCUCAACCCAUAGCCUGCAUUUGAAACUGCAGAGCUUGAGUGAAGUAGAGGCAGGCGGAAUUCCCCGUGUAGCGGUGAAAUGCGUAGAGAUGGGGAGGAACACCAGUGGCGAAGGCGGCCUGCUGGGCUUUAACUGACGCUGAGGCACGAAAGCGUGGGUAGCAAACA
rnacentral:rRNA from 1 species